CCUACGGGUGGCAGCAGUAGGGAAUCUUCCACAAUGGACGAAAGUCUGAUGGAGCAACGCCGCGUGUGUGAUGAAGGGUUUCGGCUCGUAAAACACUGUUGUAAGAGAAGAAUGACAUUGAGAGUAACUGUUCAGUGUGUGACGGUAUCUUACCAGAAAGGAACGGCUAAAUACGUGCCAGCAGCCGCGGUAAUACGUAUGUUCCAAGCGUUAUCCGGAUUUAUUGGGCGUAAAGCGAGCGCAGGCGGUUGUUUAAGGCGUAAGGGAAAGUCGACAGCUUAACUGUAGAUUUGCAUUGGAAACUGGAUAAGUAGAGUGCGGUAGAGGAAAUAGGAACUGCGUGUGUAGCGGUGAAAUGCGUUGAUAUAUGGAAGAACACCAGUGGCGAAGACGGCUCUCUGGACUGUAACUGACGUUGAGGCUCGAAAGUGUGGGUAGCAAACAGGAUUAGAUACCCCAGUAGUC
rnacentral:rRNA from 1 species